CCUACGGGCGGCUGCAGUGGGGAAUAUUGGACAAUGGGGGCAACCCUGAUCCAGCCAUGCCGCGUGUGUGAAGAAGGCCCUCGGGUUGUAAAGCACUUUCAGUGAGGAAGAACGCCUGGUGGUUAAUACCCAUCAGGAAAGACAUCACUCACAGAAGAAGCGCCGGCUAACUCCGUGCCAGCAGCCGCGGUAAUACGGAGGGUGCGAGCGUUAAUCGGAAUUACUGGGCGUAAAGCGCGCGUAGGUGGCUUGAUAAGCCGGUUGUGAAAGCCCCGGGCUCAACCUGGGAACGGCAUCCGGAACUGUCAAGCUAGAGUGCAGGAGAGGAAGGUAGAAUUCCCGGUGUAGCGGUGAAAUGCGUAGAGAUCGGGAGGAAUACCAGUGGCGAAGGCGGCCUUCUGGACUGACACUGACACUGAGGUGCGAAAGCGUGGGUAGCAAACAGGAUUAGAUACCCGAGUAGUC
rnacentral:rRNA from 1 species